rnacentral:rRNA from 1 species
UACGGGGGGAGCAAGCGUUGUUCGGAUUUACUGGGCGUAAAGGGCGCGUAGGCGGCCACCGCAAGUCAGUUGUGAAAUCUCUGGGCUUAACCCAGAACGGUCAGCUGAUACUGCGGGGCUAGAGUGCAGAAGGGGCAACUGGAAUUCUCGGUGUAGCGGUGAAAUGCGUAGAUAUCUGGAGGAACACCGGUGGCGAAGGCGGCAUCCUGGACCGGCAUUGACGCUGAGGCGCGAAAGCCAGGGGAGCAAACGGG